UGGUCACAUAUUGCAUUAGAUUUUGUUACAGGACUCCCAGACUUAGCAGGAAAGACUACUAUACUUACCAUAGUUCACAGAUUUUCCAAGGCAGCACAUUUCAUAGCUCUAGAUAAACUGCCCACUGCUUCAGAAACAGCUAAACUGUUGGUUGAACAUGUUUUCAGGAUCCAUGGGAUCCCUAUGGAAAUAGUGUCUGACAGGGGUCCCCAGUUUGCCUCUCAGGCCUGGGGAGCCUUUUGUACGGCCCUGGGGGCCAAGCCCUGUUUGAGCUCAGGCUACCAUCCACAGACCAAUGGCCAGACUGAGCGCCUAAACCAAGAACUCGAGACCACUCUUCGCUAGGGAUGGGUACCGGUGUCCGGUGCCAUCAUGGCACCGGUUCUGACAUAAACGGCAGUAACCAGACCGAAAAGCAGCGCACAUUUCGGUGCUUUAUUUCGGUGCUUUUUUUUCCUGAGCUGUGAUACACUUCUAGCCAAUCAUUUUACGUUUCGGAGGAUAGUAGGCGGGGCCAGGUACGUACAUUCAGUUAGAGCAGAGCUACAGAUUAAAAAUGUCCAAGGCGAAGCGGUCAAAAGUCUGGCUGUACUUCACAGCAAAAGAUGCAAACUCAGCAGCCUGCAACAAGUGCUUUAAGCUGAUACUGUGAUACUGUCAAAGGAGGUAACACCAAGAAUCCGAUUAAACAGCUGGCGACGCAUAGCUUUUUUUUAAAAGCCGAGAAAUGCGCCGUAUUUGAUAGCUUGCUGCGAGACCUCACAUCGUGCACGUCGGGUGGGUUGCCAGUUAUCGGACCCGGAGCAACAUCCCCCAAAAACCCGAAGAAUAGAGUCCUGGCCCCUAGCCCUGCCAGUGUAGCAGAAAUGAUGACGGAUGAUGAUGGCAGCAGCCGUUCUUCUCUGCGUGAGUAGCUUAAUGUUGUUCGAGUGUAAUUUACGUUGAGUAGGCUAACCACGUUAUUACAUUAAUGCAUGUAAGGUGAACUAGCAAACAUCAUCAUAGCUACAUGCGGCUGUCUUCUUGUUUGAUGGCAGAUACUCCCUUCACCCUGGCCAAAAAGGCUAAAAUGACCAAAGAAAAAGUGGGAAACAGUUAAACAUGAGAGGUUUUUGGACAAAGUUUGUGUUUUUUCCAUUGUUUAAGCACUGCUUCCAGCCAAGAGUGAUACCAUAUAUUCUCCAUAGCUGCAGAAAAGGCUAACAUUGUUAUCUUUUUACAAAAAACAGCUGAACAUGAGAGGUUUUUGGACAAAGUUUGUGUUCUCCAUUCUUUAAGCACCGGUUCGAGCACCGUUUAAGCACCGGCACCGUUUCAAAAGUACCGAUUUGGCACCGGUAUCGGAUAAAACCUAAACGAUACCCAUCCCUACUCUUCGCUGUGUUACUGCCCAUAAUCCAGCCUCUUGGUCCACAUUCUUACCGUGGGUUGAAUAUGCACAUAACACACUCACCACGUCAGCCACGGGUCUUUCACCUUUUGAAGCAUCCUUAGGUUACCAGCCACCUCUGUUCCCUGAGCAGGAAGCCGAGCUUGCUGUGCCUUCUGUCCAGCAUCAUCUACAGCGUUGCCGCCGGGCCUGGACGCGGACUCGUGAGGCGCUGUUG
ensembl:lncRNA